UGUGACUGCGUACCUUUUGUAUAAUGGGUCAGCGACUUAUAUUCUGUAGCAAGGUUAACCGAAUAGGGGAGCCGGAGGGAAACCGAGUCUUAACCGGGCGUUAAGUUGCAGGGUAUAGACCCGAAACCCGGUGAUCUAGCCAUGGGCAGGUUGAAGGUUGGGUAACACUAACUGGAGGACCGAACCGACUAAUGUUGAAAAAUUAGCGGAUGACCUGUGGCUGGGGGUGAAAGGCCAAUCAAACCGGGAGAUAGCUGGUUCUCCCCGAAAGCUAUUUAGGUAGCGCCUCGUGAAUUCAUCUCCGGGGGUAGAGCACUGUUUCGGCUAGGGGGCCAUCCCGGCUUACCAACCCGAUGCAAACUGCGAAUACCGGAGAAUGUUAUCACGGGAGACACACGGCGGGUGCUAACGUCCGUCGUGAAGAGGGAAACAACCCAGACCGCCAGCUAAGGUCCCAAAGUCAUGGUUAAGUGGGAAACGAUGUGGGAAGGCCCAGACAGCCAGGAUGUUGGCUUAGAAGCAGCCAUCAUUUAAAGAAAGCGUAAUAGCUCACUGGUCGAGUCGGCCUGCGCGGAAGAUGUAACGGGGCUAAACCAUGCACCGAAGCUGCGGCAGCGACACUGUGUGUUGUUGGGUAGGGGAGCGUUCUGUAAGCCUGUGAAGGUGUGUCGUGAGGCAUGCUGGAGGUAUCAGAAGUGCGAAUGCUGACAUAAGUAACGAUAAAGCGGGUGAAAAGCCCGCUCGCCGGAAGACCAAGGGUUCCUGUCCAACGUUAAUCGGGGCAGGGUGAGUCGACCCCUAAGGCGAGGCCGAAAGGCGUAGUCGAUGGGAAACGGGUUAAUAUUCCCGUACUUGGUGUUACUGCGAAGGGGGGACGGAGAAGGCUAUGUUGGCCGGGCGACGGUUGUCCCGGUUUAAGCGUGUAGGUGUGUGUUCCAGGUAAAUCCGGUUCACUUUAACACUGAGGCGUGACGACGAGGCACUACGGUGCUGAAGCAACAAAUGCCCUGCUUCCAGGAAAAGCCUCUAAGCAUCAGGUAACAUCAAAUCGUACCCCAAACCGACACAGGUGGUCAGGUAGAGAAUACCAAGGCGCUUGAGAGAACUCGGGUGAAGGAACUAGGCAAAAUGGUGCCGUAACUUCGGGAGAAGGCACGCUGACACGUAGGUGAAGUGAUUUACUCAUGGAGCUGAAGUCAGUCGAAGAUACCAGCUGGCUGCAACUGUUUAUUAAAAACACAGCACUGUGCAAACACGAAAGUGGACGUAUACGGUGUGACGCCUGCCCGGUGCCGGAAGGUUAAUUGAUGGGGUCAGCGCAAGCGAAGCUCCUGAUCGAAGCCCCGGUAAACGGCGGCCGUAACUAUAACGGUCCUAAGGUAGCGAAAUUCCUUGUCGGGUAAGUUCCGACCUGCACGAAUGGCGUAAUGAUGGCCAGGCUGUCUCCACCCGAGACUCAGUGAAAUUGAACUCGCUGUGAAGAUGCAGUGUACCCGCGGCAAGACGGAAAGACCCCGUGAACCUUUACUAUAGCUUGACACUGAACAUUGAGCCUUGAUGUGUAGGAUAGGUGGGAGGCUUUGAAGUGUGGACGCCAGUCUGCAUGGAGCCGACCUUGAAAUACCACCCUUUAAUGUUUGAUGUUCUAACGUGGACCCGUUACCCGGGUUGCGGACAGUGUCUGGUGGGUAGUUUGACUGGGGCGGUCUCCUCCUAAAGAGUAACGGAGGAGCACGAAGGUUGGCUAAUCCUGGUCGGACAUCAGGAGGUUAGUGCAAUGGCAUAAGCCAGCUUGACUGCGAGCGUGACGGCGCGAGCAGGUGCGAAAGCAGGUCAUAGUGAUCCGGUGGUUCUGAAUGGAAGGGCCAUCGCUCAACGGAUAAAAGGUACUCCGGGGAUAACAGGCUGAUACCGCCCAAGAGUUCAUAUCGACGGCGGUGUUUGGCACCUCGAUGUCGGCUCAUCACAUCCUGGGGCUGAAGUAGGUCCCAAGGGUAUGGCUGUUCGCCAUUUAAAGUGGUACGCGAGCUGGGUUUAGAACGUCGUGAGACAGUUCGGUCCCUAUCUGCCGUGGGCGCUGGAGAACUGAGGGGGGCUGCUCCUAGUACGAGAGGACCGGAGUGGACGCAUCACUGGUGUUCGGGUUGUCAUGCCAAUGGCACUGCCCGGUAGCUAAAUGCGGAAGAGAUAAGUGCUGAAAGCAUCUAAGCACGAAACUUGCCCCGAGAUGAGUUCUCCCUGAGACUUAGAGUCUCCUGAAGGAACGUUGAAGACGACGACGUUGAUAGGCCGGGUGUGUAAGCGCAGCGAUGCGUUGAGCUAACCGGUACUAAUGAACCGUGAGGCUUAACCUU
rnacentral:rRNA from 1 species